GGUUAAGCGACUAAGCGUACACGGUGGAUGCCCUGGCAGUCAGAGGCGAUGAAGGACGUGCUAAUCUGCGAUAAGCGUCGGUAAGGUGAUAUGAACCGUUAUAACCGGCGAUUUCCGAAUGGGGAAACCCAGUGUGAUUCGUCACACUAUCAUUAACUGAAUCCAUAGGUUAAUGAGGCGAACCGGGGGAACUGAAACAUCUAAGUACCCCGAGGAAAAGAAAUCAACCGAGAUUCCCCCAGUAGCGGCGAGCGAACGGGGAGGAGCCCAGAGCCUGAAUCAGUGUGUGUGUUAGUGGAAGCGUCUGGAAAGGCGCGCGAUACAGGGUGACAGCCCCGUACACAAAAAUGCACAUGCUGUGAGCUCGAUGAGUAGGGCGGGACACGUGGUAUCCUGUCUGAAUAUGGGGGGACCAUCCUCCAAGGCUAAAUACUCCUGACUGACCGAUAGUGAACCAGUACCGUGAGGGAAAGGCGAAAAGAACCCCGGCGAGGGGAGUGAAAAAGAACCUGAAACCGUGUACGUACAAGCAGUGGGAGCACAGAGCAAUCUGUGUGACUGCGUACCUUUUGUAUAAUGGGUCAGCGACUUAUAUUCUGUAGCAAGGUUAACCGAAUAGGGGAGCCGAAGGGAAACCGAGUCUUAACUGGGCGUUAAGUUGCAGGGUAUAGACCCGAAACCCGGUGAUCUAGCCAUGGGCAGGUUGAAGGUUGGGUAACACUAACUGGAGGACCGAACCGACUAAUGUUGAAAAAUUAGCGGAUGACUUGUGGCUGGGGGUGAAAGGCCAAUCAAACCGGGAGAUAGCUGGUUCUCCCCGAAAGCUAUUUAGGUAGCGCCUCGUGAAUUCAUCUCCGGGGGUAGAGCACUGUUUCGGCAAGGGGGUCAUCCCGACUUACCAACCCGAUGCAAACUGCGAAUACCGGAGAAUGUUAUCACGGGAGACACACGGCGGGUGCUAACGUCCGUCGUGAAGAGGGAAACAACCCAGACCGCCAGCUAAGGUCCCAAAGUCAUGGUUAAGUGGGAAACGAUGUGGGAAGGCCCAGACAGCCAGGAUGUUGGCUUAGAAGCAGCCAUCAUUUAAAGAAAGCGUAAUAGCUCACUGGUCGAGUCGGCCUGCGCGGAAGAUGUAACGGGGCUAAACCAUGCACCGAAGCUGCGGCAGCGACGCUUAUGCGUUGUUGGGUAGGGGAGCGUUCUGUAAGCCUGCGAAGGUGUGCUGUGAGGCAUGCUGGAGGUAUCAGAAGUGCGAAUGCUGACAUAAGUAACGAUAAAGCGGGUGAAAAGCCCGCUCGCCGGAAGACCAAGGGUUCCUGUCCAACGUUAAUCGGGGCAGGGUGAGUCGACCCCUAAGGCGAGGCCGAAAGGCGUAGUCGAUGGGAAACAGGUUAAUAUUCCUGUACUUGGUGUUACUGCGAAGGGGGGACGGAGAAGGCUAUGUUGGCCGGGCGACGGUUGUCCCGGUUUAAGCGUGUAGGCUGGUUUUCCAGGCAAAUCCGGAAAAUCAAGGCUGAGGCGUGAUGACGAGGCACUACGGUGCUGAAGCAACAAAUGCCCUGCUUCCAGGAAAAGCCUCUAAGCAUCAGGUAACAUCAAAUCGUACCCCAAACCGACACAGGUGGUCAGGUAGAGAAUACCAAGGCGCUUGAGAGAACUCGGGUGAAGGAACUAGGCAAAAUGGUGCCGUAACUUCGGGAGAAGGCACGCUGAUAUGUAGGUGAAGCGACUUGCUCGUGGAGCUGAAAUCAGUCGAAGAUACCAGCUGGCUGCAACUGUUUAUUAAAAACACAGCACUGUGCAAACACGAAAGUGGACGUAUACGGUGUGACGCCUGCCCGGUGCCGGAAGGUUAAUUGAUGGGGUCAGCG
rnacentral:rRNA from 1 species